CGAGGGGUUAACGGGGGAGGAGUCCUGGGGCUGGAUCCUCAUUCCAGCCGAACUGGAAAGGUGAGGUAGGAAAAGGGCAACGCCUUCACCUGGGCAAGGCCUUCACCUGGAGCCGCACAUGGUGCCGGCAGCUCUGAAGGACCCCAAACCUUCACCUGGAAGGAGCCGAUGCGAUGGAGGGAGCUCAGCCCCACCUGAGCGCAGACCUGACGACCCCGUACCUGAGGAAGGCUCCCACCCCCCCCGGCCAUGAGGACGCCGACACCGCCGUCAUCGCAGGUGAGGCCGCCGCUCCCCUCAUCCCACGGCAGCAAAGGAGCUCAAACUACCGUAAUCCCCACAAAACAGAAUUUUCCCACCUUCUUUCUGUCGCAGGAGAACAGGGUAACACAUCAGUUAAAAAUUAUUUUUUGGU
rnacentral:lncRNA from 1 species